GAAAAUUAUUAUUUCUGGUUCUUUUAAACAAAUUAUAGUAGGAGGUAAAAUCUUGUGAGACAACUGGUGAUCCUUGAACUUCAUCUUGAGGGUGUUGUCCUUGAGCAUGAGGUUCUUGAACAUGUUGGCCUUGAACUAGUUCUCUUUCAGCUGGAUCUCCUUGAUACUGAGAUGCUCGGUACACAGUAUUGGCUUCGAUAAUCUUCUCCAUGUUCUCCAUAUCGGUUUGUAUGUGCUCUCCACUUAGAAUUUAUGCUCUUUGACUUUCAAUAUACGCAUGAAUCGCCGAUCGGGUUUUCAAUUUCUUAUUUAUAGGUUCUUCCACCUUUAAAGAGUUGAGAAAUUUUACUCUAGACAACAUUAAAUACACAGUUUGGAAUAAUAAUACAUCUUCAAAAAACAAUCUCC
rnacentral:lncRNA from 1 species